UACUAGAGUAGCACUCGCAUAUCAAUAAGCGGAGGAAAAGAAACUAACAAGGAUUCCCCUAGUAACGGCGAGUGAAGCGGGAAGAGCUCAAAUUUGAAAUCUUAAAGGGUUUCCCUUUACGAAUUGUAGUUUAAAGAAGUGUUUUCUGUUGAGGUUUUGGUAAAAGUUCUUUGGAAUAGGACAUCAUAGAGGGUGAGAAUCCCGUAUUUGACCUUUACUUUCAACUUUGUGAUACACCUUUCAAAGAGUCGGAUUGUUUGGGAAUGCAGUCCAAAAUGGGUGGUAAAUUUCAUCUAAAGCUAAAUAUUGGCGAGAGACCGAUAGCGAACAAGUACCGUGAGGGAAAGAUGAAAAGAACUUUGAAAAGAGAGUUAAACAGUACGUGAAAUUGUCGAAAGGGAAGCGUUUGACACCAGUGUUGUUUUUCUGAAAAUCAAUUAAAGAACUGUUUAUGCUAAGCUGUUUAGACUUUAUCAGCUAUCUGUUUAGUUUUAGGCUUUUCUUUAAUGCACUUUUCAGUUAACAAGUCAACAUCAAUUUCUUUUGCUGUAAAAAAGCUUGAGGAAGGUGGCUUGAGAUUCGUCUUAAGUGUUUAUAGCCUCUUGCCUAUGCAGUCGGAGAGAUUGAGGUCUGCAGCGUAGAUCCUUCGGGGCUAAAUGCAUUUGUGCUAAGUUAUAGCAUUUUAUAGACAACUUGUUGACUAUGAUUUGUCUUGUAGCUUACUCGCUUAUGUUAUUUUACCUACGCUUAGGAUGUUGAGCGCAUGUCUCUCUCU
rnacentral:rRNA from 1 species